ACGUCAGUUCUGCCACUUUUUACCAAGGACUGAGUUGGUAAGUGUGGUGCUCUGAUGUCG
rnacentral:pre_miRNA from 1 species